rnacentral:rRNA from 1 species
GACAGAGGGUGCAAGCGUUGUUCGGAAUUACUGGGCGUAAAGGGCGUGUAGGCGGUCAGGUAAGUCUAAUGUGAAAUCAUCUCGCUUAACGGGGUGCCCGCAUCGGAAACUGCUUGACUUGAGUAUAGGAGAGGAUAACGGAAUUCCUGGUGUAGCGGUGGAAUGUGUAGAUAUCAGGAGGAACACCUGUGGCGAAGGCGGUUAUCUGGCCUAAUACUGACGCUGAGGCGCGAAAGCUAGGGGAGCAAACGGG